rnacentral:lncRNA from 13 species
UACAUACAGUAUCCACCUCCAUCACUCCAGUAUCCCUCUACAUACAGUAUCUACCUCCAUCACUCCAGUAUCUACCUCCAUCACUACAGUAUCUACCUCCAUCACUCCAGUAUCCCUCUACAUACAGUAUCUACCUCCAUCACUACAGUAUCCACCUCCAUCACUCCAGUAUCCCUCUACAUACAGUAUCUACCUCCAUCACUCCAGUAUCUACCUCCAUCACUACAGUAUCUACCUCCAUCACUCCAGUAUCCCUCUACAUACAGUAUCUACCUCCAUCACUCCAGUAUCCCUCUACAUACAGUAUCUACCUCCAUCACUCCAGUAUCUACCUCCAUCUCUCCAGUAUCCCUGUACAUUGUUAAUAUGGUAUUGACCCUGUAUAUAGUCCCCUUCCCCCUCUACAUAUCUACCUCCAUCUCUCCAGUAUCACUGCACAUUGUAGAUAUGGUAUUGACCCUGUAUAUAGUCCCAUUCCCCCUCUACAUAUCUACCUCCAUCUCUCCAGUAUCAUUGCACAUUGUAGAUAUGGUAUUGACCCUGUAUAU